AUUAAACGCAGGCGGCAGGCCUAACACAUGCAAGUCGAGCGGUAGCACAGAGAGCUUGCGCUCGGGUGACGAGCGGCGGACGGGUGAGUAAUGUCUGGGAAACUGCCUGAUGGAGGGGGAUAACUACUGGAAACGGUAGCUAAUACCGCAUAACGUCGCAAGACCAAAGUGGGGGACCUUAGGGCCUAAUGCUAUCAGUUGUGCACAGAUGGGAUUAGCUAGUGGGUGGGGUAAUGGCUCACCUAGGCGACGAUCCCUAGCUGGUCGGAGAGGAUGACCAGGCCCACUGGAACUGAGACACGGUCCAGACUCCUACGGGAGGCAGCAGUGGGGAAUAUUGCACAUUGGGAGCAGGCCUGAUGCAGCCAUGCCGCGUGUAUGAAGAAGGCCUUCGGGUUGUAAAGUAAUUUCAGCGAGGAGGAAGGCGUUAAGGUUAAUAACCUUAGCGAUUGACGUUACUCGCAGAAGAAGCACCGGCUAACUCCGUGCCAGCAGCCGCGGUAA
rnacentral:rRNA from 1 species